rnacentral:lncRNA from 1 species
GGGUCAGAACACUGGCGGCCGAUCCCAACGAGGCUCCCUGGAGCCCGACGCAGAGCAGCGCCCUGGCCGGGCCAAGCAGGAGCCGGCAUCAUGGAUUCCUUCAAAGUAGUGCUGGAGGGGCCAGCACCUUGGGGCUUCCGGCUGCAAGGGGGCAAGGACUUCAAUGUGCCCCUCUCCAUUUCCCGGCUCACUCCUGGGGGCAAAGCGGCGCAGGCCGGAGUGGCCGUGGGUGACUGGGUGCUGAGCAUCGAUGGCGAGAAUGCGGGUAGCCUCACACACAUCGAAGCUCAGAACAAGAUCCGGGCCUGCGGGGAGCGCCUCAGCCUGGGCCUCAGCAGGGCCCAGCCGGUUCAGAGCAAACCGCAGAAGGUACGAGGCUGGCCGGGACAUCCGGGCGGUGGGCGGUGUGGGCUUGGACGGCCAGGCCUGCUCGCCCUCCUGGCACAUUCUCGGUACCCCAAUCCCUGGCCGGGAGUGGAGGGCAGAAACCGGAGCUAAGGCGGGUCUAGGGCCCUGGAGUUGAGCCAGGGGCUGCUGCACGGUCCUGGCACCACGCAUGUCCGCCUGUCUGUCCGCCUGUCUGUCCGCCUGCUGCCUCCCGCCGCCGGCGCUGCGUGCUCGCCCGCACUCGGUCAGCCCUCGGUCCUGCGUGGACUGAGAUCGCCACUCCCAAAUGGGCCCCUUGAAACCUGAGUCGUCCUCUCCCCGUAGCCUCCAAAUAGAUGUAGGGGGUGGGGUGGGGGUGGGGGGCUGGAGCUGCCGCUGUCCUCUGCUGCAGGCGCCCCACUUCCACCCAGGCCCCCACCUUACCCUGCCCGCCCGCCCUGCCCGGCUGUGUCUCUGCCCAGGCCUCCGCCCCCGCCGCGGACCCUCCGCGGUACACCUUUGCACCCAGCGUCUCCCUCAACAAGACGGCCCGGCCCUUUGGGGCGCCCCCGCCCGCUGACAGCGCCCCGCAGCAGAAUGGGUACGUCGGCCCCUGCCCGCCCGCGCCCACGCCAUCAGGCCCACUGUG